rnacentral:misc_RNA from 1 species
AAGUCGUAACAAGGUUUCCGUAGGUGAACCUGCGGAGGGAUCAUUAGCGCAAUUUUUUGCAAAACCCUGUCUACCUAACUGUUGCUUAGGAGGUGCCCCUGGGAGGGGAUUUGCUUCGGCCGCCUCCAAAAGCACCCCAAGACUCAAAGUUAUGAAAUUCUGAACACGAAAAAAGUUAAAACCUCAACAACGGAUCUCUUGGUUACA